CUAGGUUAUCUUCCAGAAGCUGCAAGCAGGGUGAGGUAAUAAAACAGAUGACUGCCGGCCCCAUGUGAUGGCGGGUGAAUCAUCCCCAGGCAUUCUUCAAGGCUGAGGACAAACGUGAAAGGGAUUAAAGGAAGCUAUCCUAGGGCUGGCAGGAGAGGUUUCAACUCUCCCGUCCAAGAGUCCUGUGGGUACCAGAGGCUGGGAGCUGUUGUGUCUUUCACCAACGAGGAAGUCAAUUAUGCACUGAAGGAGGAGGUGGAGAUGAAAUCUCAGUUUCAAGGCGGAGGUGUGUGGAGAGGAGAAAAAAAGACUGUGAGCAGAGGGAGGGAGUUCCUGCAAAGCAGUGCUUUCCUCCACUCCCACCCCAACGGCAGAAGAGGAGGCCUGGUGGGAAACGGGUGGGGGUGCAAGUGCAGUAACCAGCAGGCUGGCUGAAAGAAGCCUCUCGUGGGUAUUUAUAGAGCUCGCAUCGCCAUGGUACCCAGGCGCUUAAAUUAAAUUCCAUCCCAACUGCUUAGAGACGGGUGGAAUGAAAUGUUCUUUACCUGUCCACUGCUCGCGGUGUGACACCUCAUUCUCAGAAUUUCAGAUGAGCAAUCUGAGUGAAUUUUACAAGCUACCAACGAGUAGGGUUGAGGCUUAAACCCAGAUCACUUGCCUCAACAGGGUGGCUGGGUGGAGUAGUGGCAAGUACAUGGACAGAAAAAAAUAAAUCCGAGUGUGAAACUUGGCUCUGCAUCUCCAUUGAUGUAUGACUUUGGGCAUGAGACUGCACCUCUCUGAGCCCAGUUACCUUGUCUCUAAAAUGAGAACAAUGAUACCCGCCUGUCAACUUGUGACACUAAAUGAAAUGAUGUAAAUAAAGUGCCAGCUAAGCCCCUGAAACACAGGAGAUCUUUUAAAGGUGGGUUCCUUACCUUCUUGGCUCUUAAUUCAUUUAUUCACCAAGACUCUUGGCUGUCAGCUGUGUACCAGACGAUGGGUCAAGGACAUGGCAG
rnacentral:lncRNA from 1 species